rnacentral:lncRNA from 1 species
UGGGGGUCAUUACAGGAUUGUGUUUUCAUUGUCAGUGGACAGCACUUGACUCAUCUUUGAAGUGGGCGACAAGUGUUUCCACAACAUGCAGGCCAAGAGCUGUGCCAUUAUCUGGAACAUACUGUGCAAACUGGAUGCAGCCCACGCCUCAAACAUUUGUGUUCCCCCCAUGUUUCAAAAUUCAUUAGCAGGUUUUGGACAGCUUGGAAGAAUUGAGACAGAUGCAGCCUGCCAAUUUCUUCAGUUACUCUGCAUGGGAGUUAAUGCGUCUUGAAAACCAAGUACCAUGUCCUCUCAGUGCACACUCCGUGUAAAGUGAAUGGGAAACAGAACCUCUUACUCAGGUGGCCAAAGUUUCGCCUCCAACUGUGAUCAACCUGGAAGGAAUCCCCCUACUUGGAAAAUGUAAAAAGACCAAACACAUCCUCUCCUUAAGUACACUGUAGGAAAUUAAAAAGGGGAUCAAAAGGCUCAUCUCUGCCUAAUUCUAUUAAUCCAGUACCCACUAAGCUGUCUCUCUUUUUACGACAAGUUAAACCACAACAAUGCUUGGCUAGCCGGUGGCCACAAGUUAAUGAGAAUCACUGAAGUAGUUGGUCAAGUAAAACCCAUUCAAAAACCCUCAGGAGUGGUCUAGGAACACAACAGUCUGGUGCUGUCAUUCCAAGCAACAAGGCUCAACAAAAAGAGACGCCGGUGGCUUUUACGGCAAGGGGAGAGAGUGUGACCAAGGGGAGAGAGUGUGACCGCAGAGCAAGUUUCGUGUAGGCUGCAAAUCCAGCAAAGGAAAUUACGAGGUGAAUGGAAACACAAGAACACAUCUCUUCUGUGUGCUUCCUGAUUGAGUCAAAUGAGCAAGGAUGAAGGCUGGGCUGAGACUACAGGAACCAAAGGCUGAAAAAAAAUUCCUGAAACCACAAUUUUGAUUACUGGUGUUGUCUACCAAGCUGAACUGAUUGAUGUAGUUAUUCCCUGAUUGAAGACAACAGGGUUCCCCAUUCUCCAAGGAGGGAAAAAAGGGGGCCAGAAAUUAAACUCAGAGGAGUGAUUCCAACGAGAAGUGAAAGCCACACACCAUGGACCCAGAAGCUAAUAACCCUCUCAAGAAAGAGGAAGUUAUUCCCCAGGUUAGAACAAACCAGAGUCCCGCACUUCAGGACUGGGGUCUGUCAAAUACAACUAAUAAGAAUAAAAAUCCAAUCUACCUUGGAGUUUGGCCAGGGAGGUUUUUUUCUUAUCAUUGUGAAUUAUUUACGAUCAAAUUUCUCCUGACAGACUGAUUAGGUCGACUAAUCGGAGGAAGGGCCUGGAAGAACAAAAAGGAUUCUGUUUUUGUUUCACUGAGAUCAUGAGUAGCCAAGGCAAGGGAAAAAAGCCGAGGACCAUAAAUUCACUUAAAACUGGCCAAAAAACGAGGGUAAAAAAUUGCAAGAGUUCUGUGAACUUUGGGUAGUCUACUCCCGUGAAUGGGUUUUGGGUUAAGUUAUUAGAGAAACAAACUGCCAAGGAUUCUGGAUCUUUAGCCUCUGGGUUGAAAGGGACAUUUUUUUCCCCAAGUUUUUGUUACCAGAAAAUCUUCAUACAAUCAAAAUUACUCAUUUUACAUAAAAUAUCUCAUAUUAAAUUCCGGUUCUUUUUUAUGAACAUGCAAAAUUACUUCAAAUUUAGGAAAGUUGUCGAAGGCAGAGGACGUGGUUUGGAGUUUCAGAGUUUAUCUCAUCAAACAUGUAACAAAUUUUACAUGGUCUAUUUUUACCAAUUUUACAGAUGUACGUGAGCAUUUCCUUCAUGUUCCUUCUGUGUUCAGAUACAGGACUUGGGUGCUAUGAAUAUUUUAAAAGGUUCUUAAGAAACUUUCAGAAAAUGCUCAUGAUUCAUGUGAAAAUUUUAGUUUGAUUUCAAUUUUGAAGCAGCCCCUCAUUUAAAAAUAAAUGGUUCCACACAUAGUUCAGUUGCUUAAGUACAUCCUGCACUUACAGAAAAAUAUAAUCUUCCAAACAACACAGUUCCAGGAUUUAGAAAAAAAAUGCAAAUGCAUGACUGGCUUAUCACAGAAUUUCACACGCCUAAAAAUAACCUUUCCUCGGGGAAACAGUUUUGAAAGUCGCAUAGCUUUAAGUGACAUCUAUUUCAUUUUGGUGCAUUUGCGCUGUGUUGGCAGAGAUUGAGAAUUUGAACAGUGCAAUGUUCUUUGUAAAAGAAUCUUUACAUUCAAAAUAUUUACAGUCCCGUCUCAUAAUUUUUUCAGUUGAGGCAAGGCCAAGAUUUUGAUCUACAAAUAUACAGUGCACUGUCCAUUACAAAGACCUUUCUAUUCGUGACAUCGGUUUUUUUUCCCGUCACUUUCAACUUUCCUGAAGGACCUGAUUCACUGAAUUUUUUUCUCUCUUCUGUUACUGACUGCGUAUUUGGGUUGCAUACACAUGCCAAUGUAUGCUUAAAUAAAUAUCCGUUGGUGGACUGCAUAAACAGUGGAAAGGUGGGAUUCGUGGAAGUUUGCUGAAAAUAAUCUUUUUAAGGUGUAGCAAAGGAAGAAAAAUUGUUGGCCUGUCCAUGUUUAGAAUAUACAGUUUGGAAUCACUGAUGUUUGCAAACAAGGUCGGUGUACUUUUUUAACUUGUGCCCUCUCAAACCAGUACAAUUACAGUAUAUGCAUGUGUUCUUAUUUGAAUAAACAAAAGGCUCCAAACUGGGCUUGAUAAAUUUACCGGUACAUGUACGUGAUCAGAUUUGGAAUAAAACUUUAAAGGGAACCUCAAACAUUUUGUUUAUUUUCUUGACAGCAAA